rnacentral:rRNA from 1 species
AUUGAACGCUAGCGGGAUGCUUUACACAUGCAAGUCGAACGAGAGGCGGACGGGUGAGUAAUAAAUCGGACCGUGCCCCGUGGCGGGCGAUAACUACUCGAAAGAGUGGCUAAUAACGCCUACUAUUGGCUCGGCCGAUAUCGGAUUAGCUAGUGGGUGGGGUAAAGGCUCACCAAGGCCACGAUCCGUAGCUGGUUUGAGAGGAAGACCAGCCACCCUGGGACAGAGACACGGCCCAGACUCCUACGGGAGGCAGCAGGGGGGAAUAUUGGACAAUGUGGGAAACCCUGAUCCAGCCAUCCCGCGUGUAUGAGAAGGCCUUCGGGUUGUAAAGCACUUUUGGCAGAGAAGCGUUAUCUGCAGAAUAAGCACCGGCUAACUACGUGCCAGCAGCCGCGGUAAUAC